rnacentral:rRNA from 1 species
UACGGGGGGGGCAAGCGUUGUUCGGAAUUACUGGGCGUAAAGGGCUCGUAGGCGGCCAACUAAGUCAGACGUGAAAUCCCCAGGCUCAACCUGGGAACUGCGUCUGAUACUGGAUGGCUUGAAUUCGGGAGAGGGAUGCAGAAUUCCAGGUGUAGCGGUGAAAUGCGUAGAUAUCUGGAGGAAUACCGGUGGCGAAGGCGGCAUCCUGGACCGGUAUUGACGCUGAGGCGCGAAAGCCAGGGGAGCAAACGGG